GUCCUCCACGCGCAGGCGCAGCUCGCGCCACGGGGAGACCUCCUUCCCGGCGUCCUCCACGAGGCGAUUCUGCUGCAGCAGUACUCCGACGUGAUGCGUCCCGGCGGUCUCUUCCCAAGACCUCGGUGGGAACAAGUCCGCCCCCGUGUGGCCGGACUAGAGGAGAAGAGCAGAAGCAGAGAUCUAGGCUGUGCCAUGCGGGAGAAGAGGAGAAUCACAGCGAGAUGCAAGACCUGCCGGCUAGGUGCCGUGCCGGAGGUGUUGGCUAGGUGCUGGGCCGGAGGUGCCAUGCUGGAGGUGCCCACUAGUAGGCGAUGUCGUUGGCGAGCUGAGACGGGCAACGUCUUCGGCAAGCUGAGACGGAGCUAGCGACGAGAAGGCGACGUCGAUGGCGAGCUGAGAAGGAUGACAUCAUUGGGAGUCUUUGUGUUUUCUAAACAUACUGUUGGUCUGUGCGUUAUAAUGCGUGGUAGUAUAGUACCUGUUAUGUUAGUUCUGUUAAAAUAAAAAGACAACACGUCGAAUGUGUGGAAGUGCUUUUUUUUUUAAUCCUAUACAAACUUAGCGC